UUCCGGGUUGAUCCUGCCAGAGGUUACUGCUAUCGGGGUUCGAUUAAGCCAUGCAAGUUAAAUGUUUUUCGUAAACAUAGCGAACUGCUCAGUAACACGUGGAUAACUUAACCUUAGGUCCGGCAUAACCCCGGGAAACUGGGGAUAAUUCCGGAUGUAUCAAGGAUGCUGGAAUGCCCUUUGGUUCAAAGCUUUUGUGCCUAAGGAUAGGUCUGCGGUCUAUCAGGUUGUAGUGGGUGUAACGUACCUACUAGCCGACGACGGAUACGGGUUGUGAGAGCAAGAGCCCGGAGAUGGAUUCUGAGACAAGAAUCCAGGCCCUACGGGGUGCAGCAGGCGCGAACACUUUACAAUGCGGGAAACCGCGAUAAGGGAACCCCGAGUGCCAGUACUAAGUGCUGGCUGUCUAGAUGAAUAGAUAUCAUUUAAUAGCAAGGGCCGGGCAAGACCGGUGCCAGCCGCCGCGGUAACACCGGCGGCCCGAGUGGUAACCGAUAUUAUUGGGUCUAAAGGGUCCGUAGCCUGUUUAAUAAGUCCUUUGGGAAAUCUGGCAGCUUAACUGUCAGGCUGCUAAAGGAUACUGUUAAACUUGGGACCGGUAGACGUAGGGGGUACUCCAGGGGUAGGAGUGAAAUCUUGUAAUCCCUGGGGGACCAUCUGUGGCGAAGGCGCCCUACGAGAACGGGUCCGACGGUGAGGGACGAAAGCUAGGGGAGCAAACCGGAUUAGAUACCCGGGUAGUCCUAGCUGUAAACGAUGCUCGCUAGGUGUCAGGCACGGUGCGUCCGUGUCUGGUGCCGCAGGGAAGCCGUUAAGCGAGCCACCUGGGGAGUACGGUCGCAAGGCUGAAACUUAAAGGAAU
rnacentral:rRNA from 1 species